GGUAGUAUCUAGCCCUGCCUGGUGGUAAGGGUUGGGUUGGCUGGGAGGACUCCUAGGGAUGAUUAAUUUCCUCAGGUGGAGAAAAGGGAGAAAGGGUUGAGAUAGCCUCGUGUAGAAAGCAUAGAGGUAUUUUUAAAUGCCCAGAAUACUUGUGGGAAUCAUAGCAGCUGGGAAGAGGAGAGGAGACGCAUGUGUACAGAUAAAACUGUAAACAGUAGGUUGGAGCCAUAAUAUAGGGGACCUUGAAAGCCAGGCUGGCCCGUUAUAUGAGAGAGAGGGAGGGGCGCGAGAGGAGGGGCAAACGUACAAACGGAAGCCACGGACCCAGCCCGCGUUUUCCCAUCCAGAUCCGCGCUGCUCUGCGAGGGGCCUGGUGCGCAUGCGUGCCGACCCUCACGCCGCUCUACCGCUCCUCCUACCUCCCGUAACCUGCAAGUGCCUGCUCGGCUCAUCCACCCGAAACUGCGGCCUCGUGGUCGUGCUUGGGGCCUAAGUUUUGCGCCCAGCCUGCUGGGAGAAGUCCCAUGGGCAGAGGCCGAACGGUUCUGGAGCAGGCUGAGGGCCGUUUGGAAAUGUAAAAGCUGAAACAAAAGAAGCACAGAAACAAACUAUAUUUGCCAGACUCCUCUGCAGCCAUAUUUGGAAGGUGCAAAUGAGGCAAGGAUCCUUGGUUUCCUCCUUUUGCCACUAUAGCUUCCAAGUAUAUUCUUGUGGAGACAUCGGGUUUUUCUGCAACAGCAUGUCGAUGUCCAUUCACUAACUUUAUAGGAUGUGGUAGCCAGCCCCUUAAGACAGGCUUUCUAAUGAUUCUUGUCUCCUAGUAUUCAUGUCCUUGUCUCAUCCUCUCCCAGCACGAAUAAGGUCUGACUCAUGUGACCAAAAGAAUCUUACAUAAGUGAUGGUAUAUCAUCUCUGAGGCUAGGCCAUAAAAGACAUUGGUGCUUCUUCCUUGGUCUCAUGGACCAUUUGCUCCAGGUGAAGACAGCCACCGUGAAGUGUAGACACUCACACAGCUCUGUGGAUGGGCCCACAUGGAGGAGGAACUGAAACCUCCCUCCAUGACCAACGAGUUAGCCAUAUGAAUGAGCCACUUGGAAGCGAAUUCUUUAGCACCAUUCAAGCUUUCCAGAGGACUGCAGUCCAAGCCAAAAUCUGACUAAACCCCAUGAGGAUUUCAGAGCUAGAACUAUCUAUCUAGCUAAGCCACUUAAAAAUUUCUGACCAACAGAAAAUGUGAGCAACAAUAAAUGUUUAUUGUUUUAAACCACAGUAAUAAACAAGUGCUUAUUCUUGGA